rnacentral:tRNA from 2 species
GCCGGGAUAGCUCAGCU